rnacentral:rRNA from 1 species
GUGGGGAAUAUUGGACAAUGGGGGGAACCCUGAUCCAGCCAUGCCGCGUGUGUGAAGAAGGCCUUUUGGUUGUAAAGCACUUUAAGCGAGGAGGAGGCUACCGAGAUUAAUACUCUUGGAUAGUGGACGUUACUCGCAGAAUAAGCACCGGCUAACUCUGUGCCAGCAGCCGCGGUAAUACAGAGGGUGCAAGCGUUAAUCGGAUUUACUGGGCGUACAGCGCGCGUAGGUGGCCAAUUAAGUCAAAUGUGAAAUCCCCGAGCUUAACUUGGGAAUUGCAUUCGAUACUGGUUGGGUAGAGUAUGGGAGAGGAUGGUAGAAUUCCAGGUGUAGCGGUGAAAUGCGUAGAGAUCUGGAGGAAUACCGAUGGCGAAGGCAGCCAUCUGGCCUAAUACUGACACUGAGGUGCGAAAGCAUGGGGAGCAAACAGGAUUAGAAACCCUGGUAGUCC